ensembl:lncRNA
UACAAAUACAAAUACCGUUCUAGUCAUUGUACACGAAUAAGUUGCAGAAAUGGUUUCUCAUGAUUACUCAAGAAAAUGGUUUCUCAUGAUCUUUAAUUGCACUCGUUCGUCUGUGUGGGCGUGGCGGUGGAUGCGCGGUGGGUGUGGCAGUGGACGCGCGGUGGGUGUGGUGGACGUACAGUGGGCGUGGUGGGUGGGCAUGGUGGGCGUGGUGGACGUGCAGUGGGUGUGGUGGUGGAUGCGCAGUGGGCGUGGUGGAUGUGCAGUGGGUGUGGUGGUGGAUGCGCAGUGGGCGUGGUGGACGUGCAGUGGGUGUGGUGGUG